rnacentral:ncRNA from 1 species
UCGUUAGAAAGGGGAUAUGAAAAUCUGUCCCGUGCCUAUCAGGCAUCAGAGUUUGAAACUAAACAAC